rnacentral:rRNA from 1 species
AAGCGGCAACAGCUCAAAUUUGAAAUCUGGCUCCUUCGGGGUCCGAGUUGUAAUUUGCAGAGGGUGCUUUGGCGUUGGCGGCGGUCUAAGUUCCUUGGAACAGGACAUCACAGAGGGUGAGAAUCCCGUACGUGGUCGCCUGCCUUCGCCGUGUAAAGCCCCUUCGACGAGUCGAGUUGUUUGGGAAUGCAGCUCUAAAUGGGAGGUAAAUUUCUUCUAAAGCUAAAUACCGGCCAGAGACCGAUAGCGCACAAGUAGAGUGAUCGAAAGAUGAAAAGCACUUUGGAAAGAGAGUCAAACAGCACGUGAAAUUGUUAUAAGGGAAGCGCUUGCAGCCAGACUUGCCUGUAGUUGCUCACCUGGGCUUUUGCCCGGGGCACUCUUCUGCAGGCAGGCCAGCAUCAGUUUGGGCGGUCGGAUAAAGGCCUCUGACACGUACUUCCUUUCGGGGUUGACAUAUAGGGGAGGCGUAAUGCGACCAGCCUGGACUGAGGUCCGCGCAUCUGCUAGGAUGCUGGCGUAAUGGCUGUAAGCGGCCCGUCUUGAAACACGGACCAAGGAGUCUAACAUCUAUGCGAGUGUUUGGGUGUCAAGCCCGAGCGCGUAAUGAAAGUGAACGGAGGUGGGAACCCCUCGGGGCGCACCAUCGACCGAUCCUGAUGUCUUCGGAUGGAUUUGAGUAAGAGCAUAGCUGUUGGGACCCGAAAGAUGGUGAACUAUGCUUGAAUAGGGUGAAGCCAGAGGAAACUCUGGUGGAGGCUCGCAGCGGUUCUGACGUGCAAAUCGAUCGUCAAAU